GGAGCAGUACUCAAGUGGUUGAAGAGGCGCGCUUGCUAAGCGUGUAGAUCGGGAAACCGGUGCGGGAGUUCAAACCUCCCCUGCUCCGCCA
rnacentral:tRNA from 1 species